GGUUCCAACUAAGGAGGCGUAGAAAUUCUAUUGAAAGGUUCCAGAGUAGGCGCUACAACGCCGAAAUGACCUUCUCACCCUUGUGUACUCACUAUGUUGCUUUGGCGGGUCGACCUGGUUCCGACCCAGGCGGCCGGCGCGCCCAGCCUUAACUGGCCAGGACGCCCGGCUAAGUGCCCGCCAGUAUACAAAACUCAAGAAUUCAUUUUGUGAAGUCCUGAUAUAUCAUUUAAUUGAUUAAAACUUUCAACAACGGAUCUCUUGGUUCUGGCAUCGAUGAAGAACGCAGCGAAAUGCGAUAAGUAAUGUGAAUUGCAGAAUUCAGUGAAUCAUCGAAUCUUUGAACGCACAUUGCGCCCUCUGGUAUUCCGGAGGGCAUGCCUGUUCGAGCGUCAUUUCAACCCUCAAGCUCUGCUUGGUAUUGNGCAACGUCCGCUGCCGGACGUGCCUUGAAGACCUCGGNCGACGCGUCCUAGCCUCGAGCGUAGUANUAAAAUAUCUCGCUUUGGAGUGCUGNGCGACGGCCGCCGGACAAUCGACCUUCGGUCUAUUUUCCCAGGUUGACCUCGNAUCAGGUAGGGAUACCGCUGAACUUAGC
rnacentral:rRNA from 1 species